rnacentral:rRNA from 1 species
AUUGAACGCUGGCGGCAGGCCUAACACAUGCAAGUCGAGCGAGCGGCGGACGGGUGAGUAAUGUAUGGGGAUCUGCCCGAUAGAGGGGGAUAACUACUGGAAACGGUGGCUAAUACCGCCUACUCUCGUAUGAACCCAUCGGGGAUGAGCUAGUAGGUGGGGUAAAGGCUCACCAAGGCGACGAUCCCUAGCUGGACUGAGAGGAUGAUCGGCCACACUGGGACUGAGACACGGCCCAGACUCCUACGGGAGGCAGCAGUGGGGAAUCUUGCGCAAUGGGCGAAAGCCUGACGCAGCCAUGCCGCGUGUAUGAUGAAGGCCUUAGGGUUGUAAAGCACUUUCAGUGGGGAGGCGUUACCCGCAGAAAAAGCCACGGCUAACUCCGUGCCAGCAGCCGCGGUAAUUC